UUUUUUUUUUUUUUUUUUUUUUAUGGCAGGGUGGGGUGGAAUUAAUAGUAUGCUGCUGCAUCGUACGUUCAAAGUUAGUUUGAACCUAGAAAUGUACGAAGACAUAGCAUCAAUCUGCAAGCAAAAAAGAGAUUGUAUACGUGUGGGGUUUGGACGAGCACAGUCUACCCAGUUGUACCUCAGGCAGAAUGCCACGGUUAAUUACAGGCAAUCAGAUACGAAGAAUGGCAUAAUGAUGGUGGAAGGAUGUGGUUGGUGAGAAGUCCGUUGUCUUUUUCCGAAUAAUUCCCUGAGGAGUUGAAGACGGCUAGCUUUAGGGGAGAAAGAAAGACCAAAAGGCAAAAUUGUUCUUGAGAAUUAAGCAACAUAGAUUCGAAAGAAACCAGAAAAAGCAAAUCUUUGGUGACCCUAAAAAGGUUUUCCUACGUACUUAUAGAGGGCUAACAUCACAAACUAGAAACAUGGACGACAAUGGUACACAUGCAAACAAUCCCAGUUGGUGAAGUUUGUUGGUGACAUAUCAUUCUACUCCCCCCCCAAAAAAAAGAAAAAAAAAUUCUGCUUGAAUUAUUUUGCAAGAUUGAACGACAUCUUCUAAAUUGUCGAGAUUCAUGCAAAAGGUGCACAUAUAUUCCAGCAGGCAAGUAAAAUAUUUGUUGGUCCAUGUCAUUUCAGCAAAUUCGGAGGAUCGUCUGGAGUUUAAAAAACCAGUUCAUCAUAUGAGUAGAUGAUCAUAUAAAUUCCAGAAAGCCAACCAACUCAAGACUCAAAUGAAAGGAUUGUAAGAAUGCAAUUGAACUACUGUCGACGAGAGAGCAAUUAGAAUCGAGAGUUCCCCCAUUAUAGGGUCAAAAAGGCAAAACCCACCAUCGGAGAGACAAUUCAGAAUUCCACUCACGAAGUUUAAAAAAAGAUUAGAUACACAGAGCUUUCUAAUUGAAUAUCAGACAAAAGUUCAAACAGGGAAAUGACACUAAAAUAUCCUGCUUUUAAUAUGAGUAUAGUCAAAACAAACACACAUCCAUCAUCCCUCUUUUCCUUCCAUCAUCGCAUAAAGUAAGCCAACACUAAAAGGACCAACACACAAACAGCUCUAAAACAUUCUUUCUUGUAUCAUCAAGGACAGCUGCAGACAAAGGGGCUGAAAUUUUCUCCAUCUCAUAAGGUUGCUUUUUUAUUGGUGACCUUUUUUUUUCCUCUCAAUUCAUGGAUACAACUAAUCAAUGGACUCAGGUUGGUAGAAGCACUUGAUCUCCAUGUUUACUUGCUCCGAAUAAGUAUGUAAAUACUUUCAAAUCCAGUAUUAUGAGUUUUAGGGUUCACUUGGAAAGUUUUCCCACUUUUUUUUUUUUUUUUUUGAGAGCCUUAGUGGAUUACGCUUUGUUGAAAUGAUGUUCAAGAUCACAAAUGACGGUUGCACCAGGACCAAUUUUUUCAUUUUAAACUUUGCUAGCUUUUCUGCUGAGAUUGAAGAUUAAUUAUGUUCUUUAUACAUGAAAGGACUGCACUUUUUCUUUCUUCUCCUUUUUGCAUGUGUGCUAACCGAUAAAAGGGAACUGGGAAAAGUUAUUCUUCGUUAUUAUUGCUUGUUUCUCCUUUGAUUCAAAUAACUUUCCAAAGUGAAAGUUUGUUUAUUUUAAUUUGUCAGCUAGUUUAAAUUUUUUAUUUUUUUUCCAAACUGUUGAUUGAUCCUCUAGCACCAAAUUUGAUCUUGUAAAUCUCUGGCUUUCAUGCUUUUGUUAGGAGAUUGGAGGGUUGAAAAGUAUGGGUGAGAUAGCUUCCAGUCCAUGCUCCAGGCCAGUGGUGCAGGAAAGAAAGGUUAGGCCACAAAAGGAUCAAGCCCUGAAUUGUCCACGGUGUCAUUCAACUAAUACCAAGUUCUGCUAUUACAACAACUAUAGCCUUACUCAACCAAGAUACUUCUGUAAGACCUGCAGAAGGUAUUGGACUGAAGGUGGAACUCUGAGGAAUGUUCCAGUUGGAGGAGGCUCAAGGAAAAACAAAAGAUCUACUACUACUAAUACUUCAUCCCACAAACAUCCUGAUCUGAACCCUCCGACCAUCACUCACUUCGCUUCUCAAAACCCUAAGAUCCAUCCUCAAGGCCAAGACCUUAACCUAGGUUUCCCAGCUUCACAAGAUUAUCAUGGUCAUGCUUCUAAAAUAUUUGAACUACCCAAAGUUGAUGUCAGCGGCUGCAAUCAGCUAAAGUCUUCAUCUUCUGCAUCCUCAGCUCCAUUCGCCGCCCUAGAGUUUCUAAGGACAGGAAUUGUUUCGAGGGGGAUGAAUUCCUUCAUCACAAGUACGAUCCCAGCUGUGGACCUAAAUGCUCUCUAUAACGCUCAAGGGUUUCAAUUCCAAGAUUUGAAGCCAGCAGCUGGCGUCAGUUUUUCUGUUGAUCAUCAUGGGCUUGGAAAUAGGUUUGUUAAUGCUCCUAGCGGGAUCCAAGAAAAUGGUGGGCGACUAAUGUUUCCUUUUGGAGCAGUCAAACAAGGUACAAGCACAAGUGCAGUCGAUCAGAAUAAGGGACAAUCAGAUUCAAGUGGAUAUUGGAAUGGAAUGUUGGGUGGGGGAUCAUGGAUGUAAAGGUAGUGAUCCAAGGACAAAUCAGAUGCGGAGUCUCUUCCUUCUUCCAUCUGGGGCUACUAAUACUUUCUCUUUAGUAACAAGAUUUUUUUUUUUUUGAUCCUCCCUUUUUUUUUUCCUUUCUUUUUGGUACUUUCCCUUUUCUUUUGGUUUAGUUACGAAUUUGGAGUUGUUCAGAACUAACAUAUUCACCUAUGCAAUUUCUUUCUUCUUCAUUUCAAUGUAAUGUACUUAAUGUGACCCUUCCGGCUGUGUUAAGCUAUCAGGAAUUUUUUUUUUUUUUUUUAUAAAAUGUAAAUGAAACAAGCUGAUUGAAGCGUUAGCUUGACUAGAUUGGAUUCUAGGGAUUGCUACUUCAUACGACGUUGUUGCAUUAAUUCUCUCACGGUAAGUUAUAGGGUUUGCCUAACAAUUGAAUUGUUCAUUUGACACUCAUGCACCAAGUGAGAUAUUAGAUGUUAAUUUUUCUGAAAAAUAGCAGCAUUAAACAAAAAUAAUAAUAAUAAUAAAUGUGAGUUUAUACAUUUAAAUGACAAGUUUAAUGUCGUAAAUGCUACUAUUAAGUGAUCAUUGAACACUUGCUAUAGACAGCUUUAUUUAUAGGGCACAAUGAUUUAUGUAGCACCUCGAUAAUUGGUUUGUGAUCAUUUAAUCAAUUAGGGUCCCGUCCCGGGGUUCGGUCGAAAAUGCGGAUAUUCAUGAAGGAGAGUUCACACAUUGUAAUAUCUUUCUUUUGGUGAGCAGGUAAGAAGGAAUGAACCAGAAUUCUAUCCAGGGCCUACGGGGUAGCCAAUGCCAUUUGUCCUGAUGCUGUGAAUUCUCUCCAGAAGAAGAGGGGGGGCAGGGCACCAAGCUGUUCAAGCAGUUGACCGUACCUACCACUCACAGCAGGAGACAUUUGUCUCUGUGAUUUGUUGAAUAAUAUGACAGUCAAGAAGAGUUUCCAGAGCUAUUUUGUGUAGACGCAUUAUUGUAGAGGAGGAGUGACGCCAACAUUUGCUUAAUUGCUUUACAAAAGAAAGAACGAACGCUUGCUAUGCUAAUCGUUGAAUGAGAUGAUACAUGCAUGUAUAAGGGCUGCAAAAUACGAUUCAUUCACAAGCAAAGAUGCAAACUAACUAAAAAAGAACACAAACUGCAAUAUAUGUUGAUUAGAGCAGUGAUUUUUUGAAAGCUGUUAUAUAUACAGUCAUUAGCAGGCUUCAGAUUUGUAUCCCAGAGCGUCGGUCUUCGCAAAUUUUGUGUAUAUUUAUCAUGAGGCAGGAAAUUAAUUACUGCCACAACUAGGAAAUUAAACUCUUCUUGUUUGUUUGUACAAGCUGCUGAGUAAUUUGUUCAAAGAGGGUGGGCAAAAGGCUACGGCGCUGAUGAUAGGGAUAGGGAUAGGGACGCCCGUACUCUGGAUCCUGCUUUCAAAUCAGUUUGAAUAAAAUGCUAAGCUGGUUGACACGUUAACUCCUGUGCCUGCUAGUACCUAGUAAACAGUAGUGAGACGACUGCGGAUAAAUUUCACAGAGCUUAAUUAACGAUGAUGAUUAUCAUUAACAAAUUGCGAAUAUUAAAAAAAAUAAAAAAGAAAUAACAUUUUACCUGCCUCAACUCUACCAAAUCCACCUAAUCCGUCUCCAUGUCCACCUAAGUACGGAGGAGGUCAAUUAAGGCUCUUUCUUGUGUUGAUGGCGAAAGUUAAUAAUGAUCAUUGCAUGCCAUAUUACUUACCCCAAAAUACAUACAUACAUACAUACGUACGUAGUUAAAAUCCAUCAACCUACGAAUGCUACCUGUGAAAUGAAACGUAGAUUCACAAGUAGUAGUAGUAGUAUUUUUUUCCAAGUUGAAUUGACAGUGUCGGGUCAUCAAAAUCCAUUUAAAAGACCCGGGGAGGGGGAUGGGGGGGAGUACAUAUAAAAAAAUAGCAGUGAGAGCCGCGGCAUGACUACUAAUCAUAACUUUGCAUGUUAUCCAUCCAGCACCCAUUAUUAAUUAUUAUUCAAAGAAACGCAUAGAAAAGUCUGACAAUUCUUGCGCCUUGCGGUGGUGAUGGGACUUUUUGGGGGGGGAGGGGACCUCAAACAUUGGUGUGCAGGUAGUCUGGGGCUGGGGCUGAGGAAUAUCACCAUCUCCACGAAUGACUCUUGAGCCCAGCCAUUUGGUUAUUUUGUGUGUGUGUGUGUGUCUAUAUAUACAUAUAUAUAUAUAUAUAUAUAUCCUGUUGGUAGUCUAGUACCAGGAUAAAUUCAUUCUGUGAGAAUGACCCUGCUUUCGUCUGUCGAUUGAAUACGCUAAUGUUUUAGCAGCUUAGACUCUUCCAUAAGUGCCCGCGAUACAAUACAUACAACCACAGAUUGAGAGUACCGCGUAGUUCUGAUGGAAAUUUCACAGUAACAUUAUGCAUGGAUCAAUUUAAAUAUGCUAGUAAAGGCAGGGCAGAGCUAAUUUAAAAACCUUCGUCUUACCUCAGACGUCAGACCCAGCAAGGAUUCAUAUUUUCACUUGCUUGUCCAUUCAUUUUCCAGCUAUAAGUCAAAGAGAUUGAAAGAGACAUAAUUAUCGAGAGAACCAUAUGAAAUACAAACAAAAUAUUGUACUCUUGGACAUCACAAUAACACUACUACUAUACAGAGAUUACUCGAUACAUUUAUUGCUUCAAUCUCCAAAGGCAUACAAAAGCAGUUUCAGACACAAAAAAUGCUACAUGAGCAAAAUAUCCUUUCCAGUUCUGACCACUGUACAUCAAGAACUCUUCUGCAGGACGAGGAAGGAAC
rnacentral:lncRNA from 1 species